AACGAACGCUGGCGGCGUGCCUAACACAUGCAAGUCGAACGUGGUUGGAAGCUUGCUUCCAUGAAAGUGGCGCACGGGUGAGUAACGCGUAGAUAAUCUACCUGAUGGAUCGGGAUAACACUUCGAAAGGGGUGCUAAUACCGGAUAAGCCCACGGAGUCCUUGGACACUGCGGGAAAAGGGGGGGACCUUCGGGCCUUCCGUCAUCAGAUGAGUCUGCGUACCAUUAGCUAGUUGGUGGGGUAAAGGCCUACCAAGGCGACGAUGGUUAGCUGGUCUGAGAGGAUGAUCAGCCACACUGGAACUGAGACACGGUCCAGACUCCUACGGGAGGCAGCAGUGGGGAAUUUUGCGCAAUGGGGGAAACCCUGACGCAGCAACGCCGCGUGAGUGAUGAAGGCCCUUGGGUCGUAAAGCUCUGACAGAGGGAAAGAAAUGCAGGGGGGCUAAUAUCCCUUUUGCUUGACGGUACCCUCAAAGGAAGCACCGGCUAACUCCGUGCCAGCCGCCGCCGUAAAAC
rnacentral:rRNA from 1 species